AACGAACGCUGGCGGCGUGGAUAAGACAUGCAAGUCGUACGCUCGUAUCAGGGUAGCAAUAUUCUGGUGCGGGAGUGGCGCAAGGGUGCGUAACACGUGGGUCAUUUGCCGUGAAGCUGGGAACAACUCGUUGAAAGACGAGCUAAUACCCAAUGUGCUCCGCAAGGAGUAAAGCCGGGGACCGCAAGGCCUGGCACUUUACGAUAAGCCCGCGGCCUAUCAGCUAGUUGGCGGGGUAACGGCCCACCAAGGCUAAGACGGGUAGCUGGUCUGAGAGGACGACCAGCCACACUGGAACUGAGACACGGUCCAGACACCUACGGGUGGCAGCAGUCGAGAAUUUUUCACAAUGGGCGCAAGCCUGAUGGAGCGACGCCGCGUGGGGGAUGAAGGGCUUCGGCUCGUAAACCCCUGUCAUUCGCGAACAAAGGUGCCGACCUAACAUGUCGUCGCCUGAUAGUAGCGGAAGAGGAAGGGACGGCUAACUCUGUGCCAGCAGCCG
rnacentral:rRNA from 1 species